AUGGCGCUUCGCUGUUCCCUGCCCGCGACCUGUUCGAUGUUUUGCCCCAAACGGCCAGAGCACCCCAGUUGGCACGCGCUCCCUCCGCGCUUCGUCGUCAGCUUCGGCUCUUGCCCGCGGUCCAGGCCGAGCCUGGGACCCGUGCUCGCCGCCCGCGCCUGGGCACUGCGUGCGAGCGACCCCAAGGCUGGCCGGCUGGUGAUCGGCGGCGGGCCGCGCAGCGCCGACCCCGACUCCGACUCCGAAGACGACGACGAAGGCCCCGUGCGGAUGACGGACCAGGAGCGGAGGACGCUGCGGAGGAAGAUACGGGAGAUGAUGGACCGGAUGCCGGAGACGCGGGAGCUGACUGACCCGGAGGAGAAGAAGGCCAAGAUGAGGGAGCUGCUGACCAAGUACGAGCUGGUUGUCGAGGAGGAGGACCCGGAGUGGCCCGAGGACGCCCAGGACGGUAUGGGCUUCGGCCUGGACCAGUUCUUCGACAAGAUCACCAUCAAGCCUGAGAAGAGGGAUGACGCCGACGACGAUGAUGGGGUGGAUGAUGGCAAGAAGGAGGUGGUCUGGGAGGAUGACAACUACAUCAAGCCGGUCAGGGAUGUCAAGACAAAGGAUUGGGACGACACCGUGUUCACGGACUUCGGCCCGUUGAUUGUGCUCGUGCAUAACCGGUACAAGAGACUUCAGGACAACGAGAUGGCAAGAACUGAGCUCGUAAAGGCAAUCGAGACGUUUUGGGAACACGAUCUGCCUUCACCAAGAUGUGUUGCGGUCGAUGCCUGCGCGGAGCCAGACCUCGUGGCCGCUCUGAAGGUGUCCGGUUUCCCUGAGUUGCUCUUCACCAACGCAGGGAAGAUACUGCACCGAGAGAAAGCUGUCCGGUCGGCCGAGGUGUUGGCGAGGAUGAUAGCCUUCUUUUACUACAAGGCCGCGAGACCACCUUGCUUGAGCGAAACAGACGGCCAGGGGCAAGAGAAGGUCCCUCUGAUGUCGUGA
rnacentral:rRNA from 1 species